rnacentral:rRNA from 1 species
GGAGGAUGGCAGGCAAAUCCACCGUCCGAGCUGAACUUGAGAGUAUGGAGUCUUCUUCGGAAGAAUCCAAUAGUGUGGGUAAUCAUACUCCCGAGAAAAUCCGCUAAGCUUAACCCAUGCGGCACCCGUACCGCAAACGGACACACGUGGUCGGGUAGAACAUACUGAGGCGUUGAGAGAUUCAUGGUUAAGGAACUAGGCAAAUUGACCCUGUAACUUCGGGAUAAAGGGUCCUCGUGAAUAGCGAGGCGCAGAGAAUAGGUCCAGGCAACUGUUUAACAAAAACACAGGGCUGUGCAAACUCGAAAGAUGACGUAUACAGCCUGACACCUGCCCGGUGCCGGAAGGUUAAGAGGAGAUGUCACUCGCUAGAGGAAGCAUUGAAUUGAAGCCCCGGUAAACGGCGGCCGUAACAAUAACGGUCCUAAGGUAGCGAAGUUCCUUGUCGGGUAAGUUCCGACCUGCACGAAUGGUGUAAUGAUCCGGACGCUGUCUCAACCACGAGCUCAGUGAAAUUGUAGUAUCGGUGAAGAUGCCGAUUACCCGCGAUGGGACGAAAAGACCCCGUGAACCUUUACUACAGCUUAGCAUUGACCUUGGUCAUCCGAUGUGUAGGAUAGGCCGGAGGCUUCGAAGCGGGAGCGCCAGCUUUCGUGGAGCCAUCCUUGAAAUACGGCCCUUUGGCUGUCUGAGGUCUAACGCGCGAUGCGCGGACACUGCUUGGUGGGUAGUUUGACUGGGGUGGUUGCCUCCAAAAGCGUAACGGAGGCUUCCAAAGGUGCCCUCGGGUCGAUUGGUAACCGACCUCAAAGAGUGCAAUGGCAUAAGGGCGCUUGACUGGGAGGCAGACAUGCCGAGCAGGCAGGAAACUGGGGCAUAGUGAUCCGGCGGAUGUGUAAGGAAACUCCGUCGCUCAAAGGAUAAAAGGUACUCCGGGGAUAACAGGCUGAUCCCCCCCAAGAGCUCAUAUCGACGGGGUGGUUUGGCACCUCGAUGUCGGCUCGUCACAUCCUGGGGCUGGAGAAGGUCCCAAGGGUUGGGCUGUUCGCCCAUUAAAGUGGCACGCGAGCUGGGUUCAGAACGCCGUGAGACAGUUCGGUCUCUAUCUAUCGUGGGCGUGGGAGUUUUGCGUGGUGCCGUCACUAGUACGAGAGGACCGUGAUGGACAAACCUCCGGUUUACCAGUUGUGCCGCCAGGCGCACCGCUGGGUAUCUGAGUCUGGAUUGGAUAAGCGCUGAAAGCAUCUAAGUGCGAAGCCAGCCGCAAGAUGAGAACUCCAUUGAGGGUCGUCAGAGACGAUGACGUUGAUAGGAUGCAGGUGUAAAGACAGCGAUGUCAAAGCCGAGCAUUACUAAUUGCCC